AGGGAAUCUUCCGCAAUGGACGAAAGCCUGAUGCAGCAACGCCGCGUGGAGGAUGAAGGCCUUCGGGUUGUAAACUCUUGUCUUCUGGGACGAUAAUGACGGUACCAGAGGAGGAAGCCACGGCUAACUACGUGCCAGCAGCCGCGGUAAUACGUAGGUGGCAAGCGUUGUCCGGAUUUACUGGGCGUAAAGGAUGCGUAGGCGGAUAUUUAAGUGGGAUGUGAAAUACCCGAGCUCAACUUGGGUGCUGCAUUCCAAACUGGAUAUCUAGAGUGCGGGAGAGGAGAGUGGAAUUCCUAGUGUAGCGGUGAAAUGCGUAGAGAUUAGGAAGAACACCAGUGGCGAAGGCGACUCUCUGGACCGUAACUGACGCUGAGGCAUGAAAGCGUGGGGAGCAAAC
rnacentral:rRNA from 1 species